rnacentral:sRNA from 1 species
UUCGCGUUAGGGAUUGCAGUGGAAAUCCUUUUUUGGAAUGACCUGCAGCGCAGCGGAAGGAAUUCAAAAAAGAUUGAAGCGGAAAGCCCGGCCGCAG